rnacentral:rRNA from 1 species
AGUGAACGCUGGCGGUAGGCCUAACACAUGCAAGUCGAACGGCAGCACAGUAAGAGCUUGCUCUUACGGGUGGCGAGUGGCGGACGGGUGAGGAAUACAUCGGAAUCUACUUUUUCGUGGGGGAUAACGUAGGGAAACUUACGCUAAUACCGCAUACGACCUACGGGUGAAAGCAGGGGAUCUUCGGACCUUGCGCGAUUGAAUGAGCCGAUGUCGGAUUAGCUAGUUGGCGGGGUAAAGGCCCACCAAGGCGACGAUCCGUAGCUGGUCUGAGAGGAUGAUCAGCCACACUGGAACUGAGACACAGUCCAGACUCCUACGGUAGGAAGCAGUGGGGAAUAUUGGACAAUGGGCGCAAGCCUGAUCCAGCCAUACCGCGUGGGUGAAGAAGGCCUUCGGGUUGUAAAGCCCUUUUGUUGGGAAAGAAAAGCAGCAGGUUAAUACCCCGCUGUUCUGACGGUACCCAAAGAAUAAGCACCGGCUAACUUCGUG